UUGACCUCAAAUCAGGCAGGACUACCCGCUGAACUUAAGCAUA
rnacentral:rRNA from 1 species